UGGGGAAUAUUGCACAAUGGGCGAAAGCCUGAUGCAGCGACGCCGCGUGAGGGAUGACGGCCUUCGGGUUGUAAACCUCUUUCAGCAGGGACGAAGCGCAAGUGACGGUACCUGCAGAAGAAGCACCGGCUAACUACGUGCCAGCAGCCGCGGUAAUACGUAGGGUGCGAGCGUUGUCCGGAAUUAUUGGGCGUAAAGAGCUCGUAGGCGGUUUGUCGCGUCGGCCGUGAAAACUUGGGGCUUAACUCCAAGCUUGCGGUCGAUACGGGCAGACUUGAGUUCGGCAGGGGAGACUGGAAUUCCUGGUGUAGCGGUGAAAUGCGCAGAUAUCAGGAGGAACACCGGUGGCGAAGGCGGGUCUCUGGGCCGAUACUGACGCUGAGGAGCGAAAGCGUGGGGAGCGAACAGG
rnacentral:rRNA from 1 species